AUUGAACGCUGGCGGCAGGCCUAACACAUGCAAGUCGAACGAGUGGCGGACUGGUGAGUAAUUUCUGGGAAACUGCCUGAUGGAGGGGGCUAACUACUGGAAACGGUAGCUAAUACCGCAUACCAUCCUAUCUGCUCUGAUUGGAUUAGCUUGUUGGUGGGGUAACGGCUAACCAAGGCGACGAUCCCUAGCUGGUCUGAGAGGGUGGCCAGCCACACUGGAACUGAGACACGGUCCAGACUCCUACGGGAGGCAGCAGUGGGGAAUAUUGCACAAUGGGCGCAAGUCUGAUGCAGCCAUGCCGCGUGUGUGAAGAAGGCCUUCGGGUUGUAAAGUACUUUCGGCGGGGAGGCGUUACCCGAAGAGGAAGCACCGGCUAACUACGUGCCAGCCGCCGCGGUAAUAC
rnacentral:rRNA from 1 species